GCUGGCGGAGGUCUGCCACCUGACAGCUUGUGAGCUACUUUUCAGCAGAAAGCUGAAUCCGCAAAGGUCUCCCACUGCUCCCCCCUCCACUUCCCAGAAGACCUGCCCCAUCCAGGCCCUGGCUCCACCAGGCACUGUAGUUUAUCAAAGGCCUGGAGCCCAGAAGCUUCUGGAAGGAAAGACACCUUGACCACAACUUCCCCAUCCUGAGAGUCAGUUAGGAAAACACAUCGGAAAGGACUGGGGUGGUCCCCUUCUGGGUCCACGAGCAGAAAGGGCCCAGGAGGAUGCGGCUGGAGAGCAGAAGGUGUGGGCUGGGACGGAGGCCCCAGGGCCCCGCGGCCCUAAUCCCUCUGCCCUGUGAGUCCCACCAGCGGCGGUGCACUGAGCCGUCACCUUGCGGCCAGCUACACGGGGCCAGGUCGGCGAGGGGCCUGGCCAGCACUGUGCUCGGAGCCUCGCGUGCCUGACUCUCAUUCUCAACGACAAGCCCAGACAUGCCUAGGAGGAGGUGGCCGAUCAGGACACAUGCCGGCGAGCUGUGAUGCCAGCCCGGCUCCUGCAGAAGCCAUUUCAGGGAACCUCCUCAGCGCCCUCCUUUCUCCCUGGGCCCGGACCUCGGCCUGCUUUGCACGACCUGCUCCAACCGCGGGAGCCGCGAAGAUGGACCGCAGCCUGGACCCAAGCCGGAGCCCACACCCGGGGCACAGGCGGCCCUUGGCCCACCGGACGCCACCACCACCUGCCUCCCACACACACGCAGAGUCACCGGCCUUGUGCAGAAGGGUCCCCCGACAGCCGGCGCGCCCAGGGCAGGCUCAGGGGUGCGCAGCCCUCCGGAGAGGCCGCAGGCCCAGAGUCCAGGCGCCGCUCCGUGUCCCCUGCCCUUCUCCGCAGGAAACAACCGUUGCCCGUGCUUCCGCCCUCCACGCCCUCUUCAGCUGCCCGGCAGCUGCAGCGAAGGACCGGCCCCCACAGGCCACGGGCUCGCGGAGGGCGUCCUGGGCAGGAGGCGGGACCGGGACUCCGACGCCCUGGAAAUGGCAGCCUGGAGAAGCAGCUACUUCUGCCCGGAUCCUCCCAGCACCCUGGUGACCGCCUCUCAGACCACACGGCAGGCUUGAUGGCCGAGAGCUCUCCAGCCAGCACGCACCUGACUGGUGCCCCGUCGGAGACCCGCGUGCCCCCGAGAAAAUCCAUCGUCCAACUGCAGCGACAGGCUCUCUGUGAUCAGCAGCCACAGCAAAAAGAUCCCAGGAUCCUCAUUUCCAGGGCUCUCUGCCACUGGUCCCCAGUCUCAUAAAUCCAAGAGGAACCAAAUCAUGUGCCCGAAC
ensembl:lncRNA